UGCCAGCCGCCGCGGUAAUACGGAGGGUGCAAGCGUUGUUCGGAAUUACUGGGCGUAAAGCGGGCGCAGGCGGUUCGGUAGGUCGGAUGUGAAAGCCCAGGGCUCAACCCUGGAACUGCAUCCGAAACCCCCGAACUUGAGUACGAGAGAGGAGGGCGGAAUUCCUGGUGUAGAGGUGAAAUUCGUAGAUAUCAGGAGGAACACUCGCGGCGAAGGCGGCUCUCUGGGUCGAUAUUGACGCUGAGGCGCGAAGGCGUGGGUAGCGAACGGGAUUAGAUA
rnacentral:rRNA from 1 species